rnacentral:rRNA from 1 species
CGGGGUGUUAGGGCACGACACCGGAGAGGGAGCCUGAGAAACGGCUACCACAUCCAAGGAUGGCAGCAGGCGCGCAAAUUACCCAAUCCCGACAUGGGGAGGUAGUGACAAUAAAUAACAAUACGGGGUUCUUUUGGAUCUUGUAAUUGGAAUGAGUACAAUUUAAAUCUCUUAACGAGGAACAAUUGGAGGGCAAGUCUGGUGCCAGCAGCCGCGAUAAUUCCAGCUCCAAUAGCGUAUAUUAAAGUUGUUGCAGUUAAAAAGCUCGUAGUUGAAUUUCGGGAUUAAUAUGCUGGUCGUGCCAUUGGUACGUACUAGUAUUAUUGAUUUCUCCCUUCUGAUAAAUCAUGAUGUCAUUAAUUUGAUGUCAUGGGGAAUCAGGACCGUUACUUUGAAAAAAUUAGAGUGUUUAAAGCAGGCUCGCGCUUGAAUACAUUAGCAUGGAAUAAUGAAAUAGGACGUUUGAUUCUAUUUUGUUGGUUUCUAGGAUCGACGUAAUGAUUAAUAGGGAUAGUUGGGGGCAUUAGUAUUCAAUUGUCAGAGGUGAAAUUCUUGGAUUUAUUGAAGACUAACUACUGCGAAAGCAUUUGCCAAGGAUGUUUUCAUUAAUCAAGAACGAAAGUUAGGGGAUCGAAGACGAUCAGAUACCGUCGUAGUCUUAACCAUAAACUAUGCCGACUAGGGAUCGGAUGAUGUUA